rnacentral:pre_miRNA from 1 species
AAAGUACUCCCUCCAUCCCAAAAUUCUUGUCUUAGAUUUGUCUAGAUACGGAUGUAUCAAGUCACAUUUUAUUAUUAGAUACAUCUGUAUCUAGACAAAUCUAAGACAAGAAAUUUGGGACAGAGGGAGUAGUUG